rnacentral:tRNA from 1 species
AUUACUUUGGCAGAAUAGUGCGAAGGAUUUAGAAACCUUAUAUGUAGCUUUACAGGUAAUA